rnacentral:lncRNA from 1 species
UUUUUUUUUUUUUUUUUGGACCGGGAGAGAGCGAGGAGACACAAUGUAGGUAGCAAGAAGUCCCCGGUUCAGGUGCGGACCCGCCGACAUGGGCAACCAGAGGAUUUAUAACUGAAAUACAUUAUGAAAUUCUAGUUUCGGUUCCCAGCGAUUCUGUUAGUUGUAGAUUCUAAACUAAGAUUGUAUGGCGUUUUCCUUCACGCAGCAACUGAACUGAGUUCCAGAGAAAGGUGCUGUUUACCUAGCAUCAUCUUACCUUUACAGACUGUGUACACUGCAGGCUGCUGGAGAUCGCUGCCCAUGCUGCCAUCAGCUCUGCAAACACAAGAGUUGCCUCAUAAGCCCAGAUGCUGUGGGUCCUUCUCCAGUUAGCUCCUCCCUGCCAGUGAAAGAAUUGGAGAGUACUACAGUGUCCUGAGUUGAACACUAGAGGGAGACAAAGGCACAAAAAGCUGGAAUAAGUGAGACCUCCAAGGAAGGAGAUGCCAAGUAGUGCUUCAAAGCUUCGGACCACAAUCAAACACAGCAUCCUUUUCAACAGAAGCAGAAGCUCAUCUGAAUAUGCUCAAGGAUGCUGACGUCAACAUUUAAUCAUCUCCUCACUCAUCCAGGAAGAAGGGGAGAUCAG